UCGACGGAGCACCCUUGAUUGAGGUUUCGGCCAAUGAUAGGAAUGCUUAGUGGCGGACUGGUGAGUAACGCGUGAGGAACCUGCCUUUCAGAGGGGGACAACAGUUGGAAACGACUGCUAAUACCGCAUGACGCAUUUUGAUCGCAUGGUCGAAAUGCCAAAGAUUUAUCGCUGAAAGAUGGCCUCGCGUCUGAUUAGCUAGUUGGUGAGGUAACGGCCCACCAAGGCGACGAUCAGUAGCCGGACUGAGAGGUUGACCGGCCACAUUGGGACUGAGAUACGGCCCAGACUCCUACGGGAGGCAGCAGAGGGGAAUAUUGGGCAAUGGGCGCAAGCCUGACCCAGCAACGCCGCGUGAAGGAAGAAGGCUUUCGGGUUGUAAACUUCUUUUAAGUGGGAAGAGUAGAAGACGGUACCACUUGAAUAAGCCACGGCUAACUACGUGCCAGCAGCCGCGGUAAUACGUAGGUGGCAAGCGUUGUCCGGAUUUACUGGGUGUAAAGGGCGUGCAGCCGGGCAUGCAAGUCAGAUGUGAAAUCUCAGGGCUUAACCCUGAAACUGCAUUUGAAACUGUAUGUCUUGAGUGCCGGAGAGGUAAUCGGAAUUCCUUGUGUAGCGGUGAAAUGCGUAGAUAUAAGGAAGAACACCAGUGGCGAAGGCGGAUUACUGGACGGUAACUGACGGUGAGGCGCANAAGCGUGGGGAGCGAACAGGAUUAGAUACCNUGGUAGUCCACGCUGUAAACGAUGGAUACUAGGUGUGCGGGGACUGACCCCCUGCGUGCCGCAGUUAACACAAUAAGU
rnacentral:rRNA from 1 species